AAGUCGUAACAAGGUUUCCGUAGGUGAACCUGCGGAAGGAUCAUUAACGAACAAGAUUGUCGCUGGCUAUCGAAAGAUAGCAUGUGCACAUCUAUCAUCCAAAUACACACACACCUGUGCACCUAUUGUAGAUCGAGAGAUCUAUGUUUACUACACUACCAAACAAUGUAUGUCUUAGAAUGUUAUCAUAUUUUACAACUUUCAGCGACGGAUCUCUUGGCUCUU
rnacentral:misc_RNA from 1 species